rnacentral:misc_RNA from 1 species
UUUUGUUAAUAUUCAUAUUUAUAUUUUUUAUGCUGAAUGGCAACAAGUAGUUUAUAUUUAUAUUUACAUUUCUUUAUGCUGAAUUGCAACUAGUUCUGAUUCAUGAUUGCUUGGUUUUGUUUUCCAAACAUUGCUGUACUAUUAUCGUCGCAUUUCGAUAGCUGGAAAAUAAAAUGCAAUAAACUUAGCUAUUUGUUUAUAAUUCAUGCUGUUACUAAUCAUAAAUUAAUUUUAAACAUUAAUAGCCAAGGCUACAUAUCCAAACAUAGGAGCAGAACGAUAUGACACGGUAUACGAAUUGCUCGGUGUCACAGUUCGUCUGCCGAAACUCGGGAAAUAGGAUGAGUUGGUCUAAUAAAUUGGAAAUGCUACUAAAGAAUUUUAAUCUUCGAAGUAAGAUAGGUCCUGAUGAAGGUGACUGUAAAGUAUUUUUCGUUGGAGAAGAACAAGUUGGAGUGAUAAGGGCUGAUAUAUGGAAACAUCUUCUUCACUAUCCAAGUGUUUUUCAAUAUGAUAAAUCUCGUGAAAGGGUAACUUUAAAUCCAGAAUGGAGAACUUAUGAUGAAAGAAGUGAAAAAUUUGAUAAUGUUUUGCGAGAAUUAAGAACAAAAGAAAUUUUUAGUACUCUAGCUGGAUGGAGGGAUGAGUGCUAUGACGUCAGUUCUAAAUUUGGUGAUGUUCCUGUAAUGAAGAUGGAAAGGUCUGCUACAUGUUUAUUUGGGAUUAAAAGAUGUGGUGUUCAUGUUAAUGGCUAUGUUAAAAAUAUCGAUGGAAGUAAAUGUUUAUGGAUACAGAAACGGGCAUACACAAAGCCAACAUGGCCUGGAAAGUUGGACAAUAUGGUUAGUGGUGGCUUUGCUGUGGGUAUGACUAUUCUGGAAUGUGUACGUAAAGAAGCUCAAGAAGAAGCAUCAUUACCAGAUGACUUAUUAAAUGCUAUGAUCCCUGUGGGAACAGUUUCGUUCAUGUUUGAAGAUGAUAGAGGCAUAUUUCCAGAAACUUUGUUUGUUUUCGAUAUUGAACUCCCUGUGGACUUUGUGCCCAUCAAUAGUGAUAAUGAAGUUGAAAGCUUUCAUUUAUAUUCUAUAGAAGAAGUAAGAAAUAACCGGAAUUAAUCUGAAGAAAGUUAUUGUCACUGAUGAUUUUAAACUUACUAGCUCUCUAGUCACUUUGGACUUUUUAGUGAGACAUGGUUAUUUAAACUGUGAUGAAGAACCAAACUACAUCAAAUUGCUGGAAAC